UCUCAAAGUUGUUUCUACCUAGUUGUA
rnacentral:sRNA from 1 species